rnacentral:misc_RNA from 1 species
AAAAGGAAAAUUAAAAAAAAAAAUGACAUGCUAAAGGACUGUUUUCCUAGAGAAUUUUUAUUCCCAUAAAAAAAUGCAAGCAGGAAAUUUGCUUAGUACAGUUGGCCAGUUGCUCAGUAAUAUUUGAUAGGAAAAUCACACUUAUUGCACAAAUAAUCCUGUAAACUGAUCAUAAUUAUCUGGCAACAAAAAUAUUUUUUUUAUGUAGUUUCCGAAAUAUUGCAAUAUUUUGGAUGAUGAGAGACAAAAAUCUUAAAAGUUCUCCUGACCAUGGUGUGUAGACUAGAUUUUUAUUUAUUUGAAUUAAAUGUAUAUAUCCAUGAUGCACGCUGAUGCAACAGUUCUUAAAUAUAUCUGAGGCAUAUUUAAAAAUAAGCAUUUAAGCAGAUUUAGAAACCAGUCAAAUAGGAGUUAAAAUUAAUAUUUGAUAACUUAACUUUCCUAAAGUUUCAGCAUGAGACAGGCAAUUAUAGUCAGAUAUUACAGAGUAAGGUGGCUUCACUUCUCCAAGGACAUAAAUUUCAAAUGCACAACUCAACACAUUCAACUUAUCUGUUGAUUUGAAUAAAAGUUGAAAUGCACAACUCAACACAUUCAACUUAUCUGUUGAUUUGAAUAAAAGUUGAAAUGCACAACUCAACACAUUCAAUUUAUCUGUUGAUUUUAUGCUUUUUGAGUGAAUUUCAAAUAAAUUCCAGCAACUCGUUGAAUAUCUCAAAACGAUGAAGAACCAAACUCUAGGAUCUAAUCCAGUUUGCAAUUUUACUGGAAACAAGGAGGCAAUAACAGAGAAAGGUUCCACAUCACAUUUUAUUUAUUUAUUUUUUUGACUACCUAUUCAGAUAAUCUUACAGAUGAAAUAAUCUGAUAAUCUCACACAUGAACAGAUCUCAUGUUUCUUCCAGAGGAAAAAGAAUAACACAAGUUACACAAUGAAGCCACAAACAGAUGAGCCAUUGGUUGGAAGGCCAAAUGAGACUCUUUAUGCUUCAUAUGUUGUUAGGAUCCAAUAAUUUUGGGGUAUUCCAGGGGAGGACUUAAUAUGAAGAAGAUGAAGAAUCUAGCAGAACCAAUUUUUUUAACUUAUGUAGAGGAACACAUGUAUUGCAUAGCUGUCACCAUGCAUGCAACUGAAAUUGGGAUUUUUGUCCAACCUUGACCUCCUCCAAUCCCCCUCUCCCCCCGCCAACCUCCCAACUGCUUGAGCUAAGCCUAUCGACUUUGCAACUUUCCAUUUUAAUUGCGUGUUCCCUCAUUAUACAGUUGAAAGUAAAUAGUAAUUACUUUGCUUGUAAAGUAAUUAACAAUGUAUUUCAUAUGUAACAUGCCGACAAAGAUUCGUAAUUUUACAUUGGGGUUAUGGAUUUUCAGUUU